rnacentral:rRNA from 1 species
AGUGAACGCUGGCGGUAGGCCUAACACAUGCAAGUCGAACGGCAGCACAGGAGAGCUUGCUCUCUGGGUGGCGAGUGGCGGACGGGUGAGGAAUACAUCGGAAUCUACUUUUUCGUGGGGGAUAACGUAGGGAAACUUACGCUAAUACCGCAUACGACCUACGGGUGAAAGCAGGGGACCUUCGGGCCUUGCGCGAUUGAAUGAGCCGAUGUCGGAUUAGCUAGUUGGCGGGGUAAAGGCCCACCAAGGCGACGAUCCGUAGCUGGUCUGGGAGGAUGAUCAGCCACACUGGAACUGAGACACGGGCCAGACUCCUACGGGAGGCAGCAGUGGGGAAUAUUGGAAAAUGGGCGCAAGCCUGAUCCAGCCAUCCCGCGUGGGUGAAGAAGGCCUUCGGGUUGUAAAGCCCUUUUGUUGGGAAAGAAAUCCAGCUGGCUAAUACCCGGUUGGGAUGACGGUACCCAAAGAAUAAGCACCGGCUAACUUCGUGCCAGCCGCCGCCGUAA